AGAGACACUGAUGCGAUUUUUCAAAACAAGUCGAAGUUCGAAGUCAUCAGCAUCACGAAAACUUAAAUCAGUCAACAUGAAAUUUUUGGCUAUCUUCGCUUUGGUUUUGUGCGUAUGCGCUUUGGCUUUUGCCGUCCCUCAAAAGCUGGUUGGCAGUGAAAAAUGCACCAGAGGCCCUGGCUAUUGGUGUAAGGACAGACAGACUGCCGAAGAAUGUAAAGCCGUUCAACAUUGUGAAACCAAAGUAUGGAAUAAAAACUAAUUCAGGCAGCUGAAUGGUUAAUCGUCAACAUAAUCGCAAGACCGAAAUUAAAUGCCAUAAAAUGCAGUGAAUUUUGUGAGUUUUAUUAUACAUUGUUUUGGUGUGGUUAAUAUACAUAAUGGAACUUUCGAAUCGAUUUUUAUUAUUAGUGCCCCAUUAGUUUAAGUUAUAGUGAAUUAGCAUUACGCUCAUGCUGUUAUUGUAGAGACCGCAUUGGCGUUUGCCGUCCCUCAGCAGCAAAAGCAGGGUGGCAGUGAAAGAUGCACCAGAGGCCCAAGCUAUUGGUGCAAGGACAAACAGACUGCCGAAGAGUGCAAAGCCGUUCAUCAUUGUGAAACCAAAGUAUGGAAUAAAAACGAAUUCAGGUAUUAACCAGCAACUUCAGAGAAUGGUUAAUUGACAACAUAAUCGCAAGAUCAGAAAGUAAAUGCCAUAAAAUGCGGUGGAUUUUGUGAGUUUUAUUAUACAUUGUUCUGGUGUGGUUAAUAUACGUAAUAUGGAACCUUC